GGGGAGGGGCCAGAGGGUUAAAAGCCAAGCUGCUUGAGUGAGAAGAGACAAGGCAGGCUCUCCCUGUGCAGAGGAUUCCCUGGACGAGGCUCCAGCUCCACUCCAGCUCCAGAGCCUGCCUGGUUUGCAGCAGAGAUGCAGAAGUACACGGGCUCACUGCUCGGCCUAAUCAAGCCUGCUGACAGCUGUGGCACUUGGGAAUGGCGAGGAAACCGUUACCAUUACUGAGUUUAGUAAUGGUAACGGUUCUCUUGCUGCUCCCACAAACUGUGCCAAGAAGAGCUCAUGACCCUGGAGCAGACUGCUGGAAGAAAAGGACACCCAGGCUGACAAGAGAAUGGGGUUGGGGGAAAGGGUACAUUUUCCUCUUCACUGUGCCAAAGAAAUAAAAGAUAAGAAUAAGA